rnacentral:rRNA from 1 species
CUACGGGAGGCAGCAGUGGGGAAUAUUGCACAAUGGGCGCAAGCCUGAUGCAGCCAUGCCGCGUGUAUGAAGAGGGCCUUCGGGUUGUAAAGUACUUUCAGCGGGGAGGAAGGGAGUAAAGUUAAUACCUUUGCUCAUUGACGUUACCCGCAGAAGAAGCACCGGCUAACUCCGUGCCAGCAGCCGCGGUAAUACGGAGGGUGCAAGCGUUAAUCGGAAUUACUGGGCGUAAAGCGCACGCAGGCGGUUUGUUAAGUCAGAUGUGAAAUCCCCGGGCUCAACCUGGGAACUGCAUCUGAUACUGGCAAGCUUGAGUCUCGUAGAGGGGGGUAGAAUUCCAGGUGUAGCGGUGAAAUGCGUAGAGAUCUGGAGGAAUACCGGUGGCGAAGGCGGCCCCCUGGACGAAGACUGACGCUCAGGUGCGAAAGCGUGGGGAGCAAACAGGAUUAGAUACCCUCGUAGUC